GGCGUAAAGGGCUCGUAGGUGGUUGAUCGCGUCGGAAGUGUAAUCUUGGGGCUUAACCCUGAGCGUGCUUUCGAUACGGGUUGACUUGAGGAAGGUAGGGGAGAAUGGAAUUCCUGGUGGAGCGGUGGAAUGCGCAGAUAUCAGGAGGAACACCAGUGGCGAAGGCGGUUCUCUGGGCCUUUCCUGACGCUGAGGAGCGAAAGCGUGGGGAGCGAACAGGCUUAGAUACCCUGGUAGUCCACGCUGUAAACGGUGGGUACUAGGUGUGGGGUCCAUUCCACGGGUUCCGUGCCGUAGCUAACGCUUUAAGUACCCCGCCUGGGGAGUACGGCCGCAAGGCUAAAACUCAAAGGAAUUGACGGGGCCCCGCACAAGCGGCGGAGCAUGCGGAUUAAUUCGAUGCAACGCGUAGAACCUUACCUGGGUUUGACAUGGAUCGGGAGCGCUCAGAGAUGGGUGUGCCUCUUUUGGGGUCGGUUCACAGGUGGUGCAUGGCUGUCGUCAGCUCGUGUCGUGAGAUGUUGGGUUAAGUCCCGCAACGAGCGCAACCCUUGUUCACUGUUGCCAGCACGUUAUGGUGGGGACUCAGUGGAGACCGCCGGGGUCAACUCGGAGGAAGGU
rnacentral:rRNA from 1 species